rnacentral:tRNA from 1 species
GCGAGCGUGGCUCAAUGGUUAGAGUAGCGGGUUGUGAUUCCGUUGGUUGUGGGUUCGAGUCCCAUCGCUUGCCCCA